CCGAUCUCGGCUAAUGGCCCUACCUACGGCCGGAUUAGUUUCGUGGAAACACUUUGGUCUUCGACUGAGGAUGACCCGGCUCGAAUCUCAGGUACCACUCCUUGAAAAUAUUUAUUAUGGGGUCUGGCCCGACCCGUCAAUUCCUGUCUUCCACAGUUCGGUUGACGGUACGGGUUUCUAUGUCUGCUCUGAAAGUUCGACUCCCCUUAUCGUUCAUCCCCCUAAUUUGGAAAUGCUGAGUCCGGAAGUGUAAUUAUUUUUCGGCGCUGAGGCCCCGUUGUCGAGGUGCAGGGCCCCAGGGUUGGGGCCUGUCGGUCGAAUU
rnacentral:lncRNA from 1 species